AUCAAUCCAAACGGGUUGUUCUUUCGGAGACGAAGGGGGUAAUUAAAGUACAUAGGAAAGUAAAAUUUACAUGGGAAAGUUAAAUUUGUACAAAUAUUUUUACAAAUUUUAGAGAAUUUUGGUAAAAAAAAAAAUAAUAUUAGUGGUACUUGAAAAAAAAAAAGUGACUAACAUUUUGAGUCACCAAAAUGACAAAAGUGACUAUCAAUCGGGAACGAAGGGAAUAUUAUUUUUAAGUUUACUUUAUAACUUAUUGUAUGAAACCUUUUAGAUGAAUACAUCAUUUUUUUUUAGUAUCCUUAAGAGUUAUUCCCUCCGUCCCUAAAUUAUAUUCCUCCUUUCUAUUUUUGGUAAGUUUUUUUUAGUAAAUCAACGAACUCUCUUUUUUCUGUUUAAUAUUUAACGCUUUCUCACUCAUCCUUACUUAAUCUCACUCAUAAUCCUUGUGCCAAAUUACAAUGAAUAUGAUUGGUUAAAAAAUUUCAAUUAGGAGCAUGUGAUUGGUCCUUUUUUUUUUUGCAAAGGAUUGAUGACAUGUCAUGAGUAAUAACAAAUCUAUCUUUGUACUUCCCAUUGCAUUAUCUAAUUAUUGUUAUUCAACAGGUUUUGUGUGUGGCUGGCCACACGGUGUGGCCAACUAACAUACAAGUAAACCCUAAUCAAGUAACCUCUAUUGAUGACCUAGUAACUAGUAACCCCUGACCAAGUAACCCCUUCGACCUACCAAGUAACCCCUGACCAAGUAACCCCUCCGACCAAGUAAUCCCUCCGACCUGGUAACCCCUCCGACCUACCUAGUAACCCCUGACUAUGUAAUACCUCUGACCUACCUAGUAACCUCUGACCUAGUAACCCCUCCGACCUAUCUAGUAACCCUGACCAAGUAACCCCUCCGACCUACCUAGUAACCCCUGAUCAAGUAACCCUAACCCCUCCGACCUGGUAACCCCUCCAGCCUGAUAAUCCCUCCGAUCUACCUAGUAACCCCUCCAACCUUAAUAACCCUUGACCAAGUAACCCCUCCGACCUAGUAACCCUGGACCUAACCACCAAUUCCACCACUAAAGCAGCACCAAAUCACCAAUUCCAACCACCACAACAAUCAACCAUCUCCCCUCUCACGCACUUCCAAAAUCUAUGAAAUUGAAUGGGUGCAAAUUGACCCCAAAAAUAAGUAUAAAAACAAAAUAAAAAGUCCUAUCAUAUAUAUUUCCUUGAUUGCUGUCAAGUAGCUAGGAAAUUGUGUUGAAAAAAAAGUAGCAUGACGACAUUGACGAUUGUAGUCCAGUGAAUCUCUGCCUCCAUUCCUUCACUCUUGACUUCUUCUUCCUCCUCUCAAGUCCAUUAUUAAACUACAACUCCUCCUGCUCUUUUCCCCUGCGCAACCAAACAGCCAGCAACAACAAUUUCGACUUCCAAUCCACUGGCAAUCAGUGUUUCAGCGACCAAUAAUAAUGAUUUCGGCCAUUAAUUGCAACAAUUUGAUAAGGAGCGUCUUCGAUCUUCGCCUAAUUAAAAACCCAUAUUUGUGGUGUAGAAGAAAAGAGGAGAGAGAAAAUCCAAUUGCUAUCUCGAGAAGAAGGAAAGUGGUGUACUGUUUUUUUUUUAAAUAAAAAUUAAAUUAUUGCUAUCUCGACAAGAAAGAAAGUGGUGUACAGUUUUUUUUUUUAAAUAAAAAUUAGGGUAUUUUCAUUUUUACCACCUUCAAAUAAUGACUUUGUCGAAUUUACCACCUCCAAAAAAAAAAACAUUUACUUUACCACCUCAUAAAAAAAUUAAACAUCAGUUUUACCACCUCAUCUGAGCUCAGGUGACGGAAAACGCUUGUGGGUCCCAGUUAACUGUCACUUCCCUCCAAUUUAAUUCGUUUAAAAUCGAUUUCCCUUUGUCUCCUCCUUUUCUCACCUUCCACCUUCCAUAAUCAAUGUCUCACCAAAUUUCUCACUUCCUCAUCAAUUUUCGUCUCUCUUUCCUUUGAUUUUUCUUGAUUCUCACUGUAACUGCUUCUCUCUCCUUUGAAUUUUCUCUUUCUCUCUGUAAAAACUGAAACCCUAGAUCAAUUUGGGUGGUUGAAAUCGAGCUGGAACCACAAAAUUGCAACACAUCAGCUUCUCUUGUCAUCUUCCACAGGGUGAGGGGACCAAAAGCUUGGUAAUUUGCUGACAGAAAUCGAGAUUCCUGACUACAAGAGAAUGGACACAGUGAACUUAAAAAUUACAUUAGGGGGUGCCUUUAUACCUUCUUUAGCUGGUAAAAAUAGGAGGGUGUUAACUUGGGAUGGUGGGUGGGUUUAUUGGAUGAGAAAGGUGGAAAAAAAUAAGAUAGAUGUACACUUUUUGAGGCAAGCAGCUAUACAUGGGUUUGUGUAUGUGAAUGUGAAGGUUCCUAGGGGGUUUAGUUGCUGGUAUAAACAAAAAGGCAAGUCUUGGGUGAAUGGUAAAAGGGAGCUUGUUGAUGGUGAGGUGAAUGGUUUCCUAGAGUCGGUGAACAAAGAGGGGGCAUGUGAGAUGUAUGUUACCAGUCAUGAGCCAAUUGAAGGGACUAACAAAACACCCUUCAAAUGUAUAUCUGGGAAUGAGCUAACCCCUGCACAAAGGAAGGAACUGAAAAAGAGGUUUGGUGGGCCUAAAGUAUACAAACCCAGCCCAGAACUUAGUAAGCCCACUGAA